AGAAUAAAAUGUCGCACAUAGAGAACCUGAAAGCUUUUGAUCCCUUUGCAGAUGCAGCGAAGGGGGACGACGAGGCUGUGCAGGACGGAUUAGUCCACGUCAGAAUUCAGCAGAGAAAUGGAAGAAAAACCCUGACAACAGUGCAA